AGCUUGCUUCAUUUAGAAUUGGAACAAACUUUUGCUCAUAUUGUGGUGCUCCUGGUGGACGGAUUUGGAAGUUCUUGGCGCCCACGUGUCGGGAAUUUUGUCAGCUUCACGUAUGUAUUUUUGACAUUCCGCAAAUCGACUGUACUUUGUAAACAAUCAACAUGGAAGCCGAAAGAAGGGAAAAAAUUGUGCACAGUUAUUUGGAAAAUCCAUUGUGGUCUGCAUCUAGGCUAGCUAAACAGCUGUAAUUGCCCAGAAAUACCGUAUGGCGCGUUAUCAAACGGUAUAAGGAAACAUUGACGACGAUUCGGAAGCCUCAAGCCAAUCGUCGGAGUGGAACUGUCGACCGGAAACUGCGUGGUAAGAUUUUGAAGACGAUUAAGAAGAAUCCCAAUCUGUCGGACCGUGAUUUGGCCAGAAAUUUCGCAAACAGCCAAAUCGGACCAUAAAAUAGAAUAGUGUGGCCAAAAUCCGUGCGCGGAAGCUAUACGACCAGGUGCUGACCAAGUUCGACGGGUGUCUUCUGAUGGGCGAUGAAACCUAUGUCAAGGCUGACCUCGGGCAAAUCCCAGGUCAAAAAUUUUACUUGGCAACGGCUCGGGGGGAUGUUCCAGCCAAAUUUAAAUUUGUUUUUGUCGACAAAUUUGCACGAAAAUUUAUGAUUUGGCAGGGCAUUUGCAGCUGUGGCAAAAAAACGAAAGUUUUCGUUACAAAUAAGACAAUGACGUCGGAACUAUACCAAAAAGAGUGUCUCCAAAAACGAAUUUUGCCGUUCAUUCGAUCCCACGACCAUCCCGUAAUGUUUUGGCCAGAUUUGGCAAGCUGUCAUUACAGCAAAGUCGUUCAAGAAUGGUAUGCAGAGAAAGGGGUCCAGUUUGUUCCGAAAAACCUUAACCCACCCAACUGCCCCCAGUUCCGCCCUAUUGAGAAAUACUGGGCAAUCAUGAAGAGGA